GCGCAGGUAGCAUAGUGGUAGUGCAUUCGGCUGCAACCCGAAUUGCCUGGGUUCGAUUCCCGGCCUGCGCU
rnacentral:tRNA from 1 species